UACGAAGGGUGCAAGCGUUACUCGGAAUUACUGGGCGUAAAGCGUGCGUAGGCGGUUUGUUAAGUCUGAUGUGAAAGCCCUGGGCUCAACCUGGGAAUUGCAUUGGAUACUGGCAGGCUAGAGUGCGGUAGAGGGUAGUGGAAUUCCCGGUGUAGCAGUGAAAUGCGUAGAGAUCGGGAGGAACAUCUGUGGCGAAGGCGACUACCUGGACCAGCACUGACACUGAGGCACGAAAGCGUGGGGAGCAAACAGG
rnacentral:rRNA from 1 species